AAGGACAUUAUCUCUUCCGUGUGGCCGCUCCGCCUCCACCUCCUCUCCCUGGCUCCGGCUGCCGCCCCGCGCCCCACCUUCUCCCCUGGCUCCGGCCGUCGCUCCGCGCCCCACCUUCUUCCCUGGCUCCAGCCGCCGCCCCAUGCCCCACCUUCUCCCUGGCUCCGGCCGCCGCUCCGCGCCCCACCUUCUUCUCUGGCUCCGGCCCUCGCCCCGCGCCUCACCUUCUCCCUGACUCCGGCCAUCGUCAUGCGCCCGACCAUCCCCCUGGUUCUGGCCACCGCCCCGUGCCCCACCUCCCCCCCGGCUCCGGCCGCCACCCCGUGCCCCACCUUCUCCCAUGGCAGCAGUCGCCGCCCCUCCCCCACCAUCUCAUGCCCCCUGGGCCGCUCACCAUCCCGUAUCCUCAGCGUGCCGGCCUCCACGAUCCCCAGCGCGCCAACCUCCAGUUCUUCACCUACCCCAUCGUGACGCCACCCAAUCUUCUUCCUCCUGGAUUCUCCUAGCCAUGGCGAGUGCCUCCUCCCUGCGCCAAGCUCGCUCUAGACUACGCAGAGCCACCAACUCCCACCGCCUCACGUGCAGUACAACCCCACCCAUGUACGAGGUUCAAAGACCUUGCAGAGAGAAGGAAAUGAUAUGUUAAGGUCAGCAGCUUCCUCGUCGCCAUCCCGGUCGUGGCUUUUCUGUGGCACGCCUCCCACUGCUUCUCCUUGCUGGACUAGUCAACCUACAAGAGAUCAACUCAAACAAAAAGUACUCAAGGUGGACUUAAGCUGAACUGGUGAUGGUCUUAGAAACUGCAUGUUUGAAAGUGGCCAAGGUUCUUGAAAGCUAAAAACUUUGAACCUUGUAAACGACAGCAAGCUUUUUGCCAUUUGUUUCACUUACUAGAGCGCUUUGCUAAUGGGUACGAUAAGUAUAACAUAAGUGAAUGAAAAGAGAGGUCUCGUCCAACUAAUUAGUUUUCUCUGUGUUUUUAGUUCCAUGUACUGUCUGAUCAAUUCUACUGUAGCUCUGAACAGCAGGAGAAAAAUAAAGAAAGUUCAAGUAAAAUCUCAAAUAAAAAUUAUGUUCAAGUUGAAGCCCAGGAGUAUAUACAUAUGGAGCGGACAUGGCAAUCGAUCUUGUUGAUGAUUAUCAAUAAAUAGAUGGUGAAGUUGGCAAACGGCUGAAUCAGAUGGUGCCUACCCCUAAAAAUUAUCAGUUACAAGUAUCUGCAUUUUGUCGAAAGUUCUUCGGUAUAGCCCCCUCUCCAUCAAAGUAGAAGAGUGAUCGUGGCAUGUGUUCGUUCAAUAAGGGCUUUGGUGACGGUCCGCUGCUGGUGGCCGCCUCACCGUGGUUAAGUUUGGCGUAGUCGCAUGUGUCGCUUUCUGUUGUGGCCGGUCUCCAGAUUAUACUGGAGCAUGUGUUUUCACAGAUAGUUCAUGUUCCAGAUUGCCAAAAGUUCAAACAUAGUGAGAUGGAUGGGAAACUACGAGAAAGAGAUGAUAUUGGACAAAGCAAAAUUAGUAAAAGAAAGAAAAUGCUAGAAGUUCAACUAGGGUGACUUAAAAAGUUCAUGAAAAAUAAAUAUAAAAGUUCACAGAAGAGGGUUGGAAAAGAUUUGGGAAAAGACACACAAAAAAACAUGGAAAAGUUCUCAGGUUAGAAAAAGGUUUCACUUCACUUUGCUAAAGUUCAUCUAGAAUCUUGGAAUCCGAUGUGGUCUGUGGCAAGGUACAUCCAAUGACAACGAGCAGGCGGCAAGUGUACUUAUGCGCAGCGGGACGGUGGCAUGGAGCAGUUGAGUAGGUGUGCGUGGUCAUUCACUGCCUCGACACAAGGCCGUUCGACGAUGCAGCGCUCAAGCCGUUCACCCUUACCACCACAAGCUGUUCACCCUUACCACCGCAAGCCGUUCACCUCCGCCACACGAGGCCGUGCGACGACGCAGUGAUCAGACCGUUCACCUCUGCCAUAGGAGGCCGAUGCAAACACUAAGGAGUUGUGUUCUUUUUCAGUACAUGUUUUUGUGCUUUUUAGUACACCUACUUAACGAUUCUAUGUCCAAUUUUCUCUGUUUACGUGUUCUUCCUAUAGCACAAAAGGUGUUGUGUGUUAAGCCUUAAUAAGCAUUUGAGAAAAUCUUGUAUGGAUCUAAACUAGCAUAUGUUCGUUCUAUUCUUGUAAAUGAAGCUCCACUUCUGUUUUGUUUGAA